GAGUUUGGUUGUAGCUGGCCCAUUAUUCAUAUUUUGGGCAUGUGCACACCUUCCUCUUUCAUCCCACACACACCUGUGAACCUGUGAGACAGAUGGGGAAUUUACUUGCUGCUUUUUGCAAUACAAAGGCAAUAGGUUAUUGGACCCUCUGUCUACUCAAUUAAUAUAAAAUCAAUUUAUUUUAAAACGAAUGUAAUGGAUGUAACACAUCUCAUACUAAGUUUCAACAACGGAUCUCUUGGCUCUCGCAUCGAUGAAGAACGCAGCGAAAUGCGAUAAGUAAUGUGAAUUGCAGAAUUCAGUGAAUCAUCGAAUCUUUGAACGCACCUUGCGCUCCUUGGUAUUCCUUGGAGCAUGCCUGUUUGAGUAUCAUGAAUUCUUCAAAGUAAAUCUUUUGUUAACUCAAUUGGUUUCACUUUGGUAUUGGAGGUCUUUUGCAGCUUCACACCUGCUCCUCUUUGUGCUUAGCUGGAUCUCAGUGUUAUGCUUGGUUCCACUCGGCGUGAUAAAUUAUCUAUCGCUGAGGACACUGUAAAAGGUGGCCAAGGUAAAUGCAGAUGAACCGCUUCCAAUAGUCCAUUGACUUGGACAACACCUUUAUGAUCUGAUCUCAAAUCAGGUAGGA
rnacentral:rRNA from 1 species